rnacentral:lncRNA from 1 species
CAGCUGUACCAGCACAACUCAGAAACUAAGCACCUCUAUUUCCAUCACAUGCAUGGACAAAAAUCACCUCAGAGGCAAAAACGUUGGAUAUCUAUCAUCUCAACCAAUUUUUUUGGUGUCCUUAAAAUCUCGCAGCAUCAUCUACUGCUCUUUGACCUUCAGCAUCUUCUCCGGUGAAACCAUAAAAGUAGAUCCAUUUAAAAACACCAUUGUUGAGGGGAAUAUAACUUUAUUCUUCUAUUUAUCGUCACUGUGCAUGAAAGAGAAUUUACUGAAUAUUAUUUUCACGGAUGGCAACACGCUUAUUUCCUAAUACCCUCAUAUUCCCAGCAGAGAAUUGAGUGAAGAACUAGUUUGCUUAGUACUUUCAUGGCUAUCGUCAAUGAGGGUGUUAUCUUACAGGGGAAAGGAGGGAAGGGUCUCCUGGAUGUUAAAUAUAAGUCCAGAAUAUUGGUGAAGUCCCAUUUUCUAGCUAGGUAGAUGGAGACAGUAGUGUUCAUAGUCCUUGUUAACUUAUGGCAAUUUAUUUGUUUGCAAGAAAACAAACAUAUGUCGUUCUUUUUUUCCUCGUAGUCUGAAAUUUCACGCAGAUGCUAAUGAAUUUAUUUCAUGUUGCAAGAUUGCAAUAAAAAGAAUAAGGUUAAUAGCGCACUAAUUAUGAUAAAAUAUAUAUUUCAGGAC